rnacentral:rRNA from 1 species
AGAACGAACGCUGGCGGCAGGCUUAACACAUGCAAGUCGAGCGCUGUAGCAAUACAGAGCGGCGCACGGGUGAGUAACACGUGGGAACAUGCCUUUCGGUUCGGAAUAACUCAGGGAAACUUGUGCUAAUACCGGAUACGCCCUUACGGGGAAAGAUUUAUUGCCGAAAGAGUGGCCCGCGUUGGAUUAGCUAGUUGGCGGGGUAAAAGCCCACCAAGGCGACGAUCCAUAGCUGGUCUGAGAGGACGACCAGCCACACUGGGACUGAGACACGGCCCAGACUCCUACGGGAGGCAGCAGUGGGGAAUCUUGGACAAUGGGGGAAACCCUGGAUCCAGCCAUGCCGCGUGAGUGAUGAAGGCCCUAGGGUUGUAAAACUCUUUCGGCGGGACGAUAAUGACGGUACCCGCAGAAGAAGCUCCGGCUAACUUCGUGCCAGCAGCCGC